rnacentral:ribozyme from 13 species
UCAACAAUUCCUAUUAACUUCUUUUCUUUCUCUUUCUCUCUUUCUUCUUCUUCUUUUCUUUCUUUCUGAUUCUCAUUCUCAUUCCAAGAAACAAGAAGGUUAUUUGAAUACAUGUCCCCGUGAAUAAGAGAAGAGUGAGAAUGGGAGAGAGAAAGCCGAGAGAAAAGAGAAUCAAGGUCCAGUUUUCGAAGUUUCUCGACUCUUUCUUGGAAAGAGAGAAAAGAA